rnacentral:rRNA from 1 species
AACGAACGCUGGCGGCAUGCCUAACACAUGCAAGUCGAACGAAACCUUCGGGUCUAGUGGCGCACGGGUUCGUAACGCGUGGGAACCUUCCCUUAGGGUCGAAAUAACUCCCCGAAAGGGGUGCUAAUACCGAAUAAUGUCUUCGAACCAAAGAUUUAUCGCCUUUGGAUGGUCCCGCGUUGGAUUAGCUAGUUCGUAGGGUAAAAGCCUCCCAAGGCGACGAUCCAUAGCUUGGCUGAGAGGAUGCUCAGCCACACCGGGACUGAGACACGGCCCAGACUCCUACGGGAGGCAGCAGUGGGGAAUAUUGGACACUGGGCGAAAGCCUGAUCCAGCAAUGCCGCGUGAGUGAUGAAGGUCUUAGGGUUGUAAAGCUCUUUUACCCGGGAUGAUAAUGACAGUACCGGGAGAAUAAGCUCCGGCUAACCCCGUG